rnacentral:rRNA from 3 species
CAACUUUCAGCAAUGGAUCUCUUGGUUCUCGCAUCGAUGAAGAACGCAGUGAAAUGCGAUAGCUGGUGUGAUUUGCAUCCAAGUAACUCUAAUUUACGAAUAACACCAAGUGAAUCAUCGAGUCUUUGAA